AAGUAAAAGUCGUAACAAGGUCAUCGUAGGUGAACCUGCGGUGGGAUCAUUAAAUAUUAUUAAUGUGGGGGCGGCGGUGAGAGAGGUACUUUGUGUCUUUCUGCCAUCGCUCUUCUUGUGUGAACCGAGUGAGCUACUAUGAAUAAUUUAUUCUUGUGGCGCGAGAACAGUUUUGGUGAGCUUGUUUGUGAGAGUGUAGAUAUUCUAUGCUCAUGCUCUGCUCACCGCUGUUCUCUCUAUCCAAACAAAAACCAAUACCAAAAACAACUAUAAUACGAGUAUUCGUACUCUAAAUUCAAUUACAACUAUCCGUGGUGGAUCACUUGGCUCUUGCAUCGAUGAAGAACGUAGC
rnacentral:misc_RNA from 1 species